rnacentral:rRNA from 1 species
UACGGAGGAUCCAAGCGUUAUCCGGAUUCAUUGGGUUUAAAGGGUCCGUAGGCGGAUUUUAAGUCAGUGGUGAAAGCCGACAGCUCAACUGUCGAACUGCCAUUGAUACUGGAAAUCUUGAGUACAAAUGAAGUAGGCGGAAUGAGUCAUGUAGCGGUGAAAUGCAUAGAUAUGACUCAGAACACCGAUUGCGAAGGCAGCUUACUAACAUGUAACUGACGCUGAGGGACGAAAGCGU